rnacentral:rRNA from 1 species
GAUGAACGCUAGCGGCAGGCUUAACACAUGCAAGUCGAGGGGCAGCAUGAACCGACCUUCGGGAAGGUUUGAUGGCGACCGGCGCAAGGGUGCGUAACGCGUGAGCAACUUGCCCGUUUCUGGGGAAUAACCGGUGGAAACGCCGACUAAUACCCCAUAGCAUCAACUUUGGGCAUCCUUAGUUGAUUAAAGAAUUUCGGAAACGGAUAGGCUCGCGUGACAUUAGCUGGAUGGCGGGGUAACGGCCCACCAUGGCUACGAUGUCUAGGGGUUCUGAGAGGAAGGUCCCCCACACUGGAACUGAGACACGGUCCAGACUCCUACGGGAGGCAGCAGUGAGGAAUAUUGGCCAAUGGUCUGACGACUGAACCAGCCAUGCCGCGUGAAGGUCACGGCCCCGUAUGGGUCUUAAACUUCUUUUGUAAGGGAGCAAUAAGUCUCACGUGUGGGAUGAUGAGAGUACCUUACGAAUAAGCAAUCGGCCUAAACUCCCGUGCCAGCAGCCGA